rnacentral:lncRNA from 1 species
AUGCUUCCUCCGCUCUCAAUACCAUCUGUUCUGUCUCAACUCUCAGACCACCUUCCAUCCGUCAGCUCCCAUCCGUCAGCUCCCAUCCGUCAGCCCCCAUCCGUCAGCCCCCAUCCGUCAGCCCCAUCCGUCAGCCCCAUCCGUCAGCCUCCAUCCGUCAGCUCCCAUUCGUCAGCUCCCAUCCGUCAGCCCCCAUCCGUCAGCCCCAUCCGUCAGCCUCCAUCCGUCAGCUCCCAUCAAUCAGCCCCCAUCAGUCAGCUCCCAUCCGUCAGCUCCCAUCCGUCAGCCUCCAUCCGUCAGCUCCCAUCCGUCAGCCUCCAUCCGUCAGCCCCCAUCAGUCAGCUCUCAUCAGUCAGCUCCCAUCAAUCAGCCCCCAUCCAUCAGCUCCCAUCCGUCAGCUCCCAUCAGUCAGCUCCCAUCAGUCAGCUCCCAUCCGUCAGCCCCCAUCCGUCAGCCCCCAUCCGUCAGCCCCCAUCCGUCAGCCCCAUCCGUCAGCUCCCAUCCGUCAGCUCCCAUCAAUCAGCCCCCAUCAGUCAGCUCCCAUCCGUCAGCUCCCAUCCGUCAGCCUCCAUCCGUCAGCUCCCAUCAGUCAGCCCCCAUCAGUCAGCCCCCAUCAGUCAGCCCCCAUCAGUCAGCUCCCAUCCGUCAGCUCCCAUCCGUCAGCCUCCAUCCGUCAGCUCCCAUCCGUCAGCCUCCAUCCGUCAGCCCCCAUCAGUCAGCACCCAUCAAUCAGCCCCCAUCCAUCAGCUCCCAUCCGUCAGCUCCCAUCAGUCAGCUCCCAUCAGUCAGCUCCCAUCCGUCAGCCCCCAUCCGUCAGCCCCCAUCCGUCAGCCCCCAUCCGUCAGCCCCCAUCUGUCAGCUCCCAUCCGACAGCUCCCAUCCGUCAGCUCCCAUCCGUCAGCCCCCAUCCGUCAGCCCCCAUCCGUCAGCCCCCAUCCGUCAGCCCCCAUUCGUCAGCCCCCAUCCGUCAGCUCCCAUCCGUCAGCUCCCAUCCAUCAGCCCCCAUCCAUCAGCUCCCAUCAGUCAGCCCCCAUCCAUCAGCUCCCAUCAGUCAGCCCCCAUCCAUCAGCUCCCAUCAAUCAGCCCCCAUCCAUCAGCCCCCAUCCAUCAGCCCCCAUCCAUCAGCCCCCAUCCAUCAGCCCCCAUCCGUCAGCUCCCAUCCGUCACCUCCCAUCCGUCACCUCCCAUCCGUCAGCUCCCAUCCGUCAGCUCCCAUCAAUCAGCUCCCAUCCAUCAGCCUCCAUCCGUCAGCCUCCGUCAGCCUCCAUCCGUGCAGAUUUGUAUGUUUUUUGGGGGGUUCAAGCUUGUAUGUGCUGA